ACGGAAGGCAGCAGUGAGGAAUAUUGGUCAAUGGACGCAAGUCUGAACCAGCCAUGCCGCGUGCAGGAAUAAGGCCCUAUGGGUCGUAAACUGCUUUUGUGGUGGAGCAAUAAGUCGUACGUGUACGGCGCUGAGAGUACAUCACGAAUAAGCAUCGGCUAACUCCGUGCCAGCAGCCGCGGUAAUACGGAGGAUGCAAGCGUUAUCCGGAUUUAUUGGGUUUAAAGGGUGCGUAGGCUGUGGUCCAAGUCAGGGGUGAAAGCCCGGAGCUCAACUCCGGAACUGCCUUUGAUACUGGAUUGCUGGAAUACGGAUGCCGUGGGAGGAAUGAGUAGUGUAGCGGUGAAAUGCAUAGAUAUUACUCAGAACACCGAUUGCGAAGGCAUCUCACGAAUCCGUCAUUGACGCUGAGGCACGAAAGCGUGGGGAUCAAACAGGAUUAGAUACCCUGGUA
rnacentral:rRNA from 1 species